UGGGGAAUAUUGGACAAUGGGCGAAAGCCUGAUCCAGCCAUGCCGCGUGUGUGAAGAAGGUCUUCGGAUUGUAAAGCACUUUAAGUUGGGAGGAAGGGCAGUAAGCGAAUACCUUGCUGUUUUGACGUUACCGACAGAAUAAGCACCGGCUAACUCUGUGCCAGCAGCCGCGGUAAUACAGAGGGUGCAAGCGUUAAUCGGAAUUACUGGGCGUAAAGCGCGCGUAGGUGGUUCGUUAAGUUGAAUGUGAAAGCCCCGGGCUCAACCUGGGAACUGCAUCCAAAACUGGCGAGCUAGAGUAGGGCAGAGGGUGAUGGAAUUUCCUGUGUAGCGGUGAAAUGCGUAGAUAUAGGAAGGAACACCAGUGGCGAAGGCGACCACCUGGGCUCAUACUGACACUGAGGUGCGAAAGCGUGGGGAGCAAACAGG
rnacentral:rRNA from 1 species